AAUUUAGAUCUGUUUCAACAAAAAUUAGUAUCUUGAAAAGGUUUUAUUGGUUAUAGGCCUAAACUUUUAAUUUCGGUAUUAUUUCUUUUUAAUCGGGGUUUAUUUAAUUCUUCCAUACGAAUGUCUUUAAAACAUAUUCCAUAAUUGAUUAAUUUUAAAACCUGAGAAAGUACAGAGAGCAGUAUGUAACAAAAGAAGAGAAACCAAAUACAUAUAUCUGAUCCAACAAAACACUAAAGCAAAUUGUUAGGAAUUUAUAAAAAUUCUUUGGUGUUCUUCAUAAGUUUAUUCCCAUUCUCAAGUAACUACGAUUUCUUUUGGCCAAGAAUAUUUUCCCAUCGUUUCAUCUAAGGAACUGGAAAAAACAGAAAAUGGCAGCAAUGUCACAUCAAAAUGCCGCAUUGAUUAAACUUUGAUUAGCUUUUGGCUUGAAGAAUUAAUUUGAGUUGAGUUGCAACGGGUAGCAGCAGCAGUUGCAAUAGAAGAAAAGAGCGCAAAUCGAAGAGAAACGCGAAAACAUGUGGCUAGACGAGUGCGUGAGACGAGCCAAUGACAAAUAUAGUCAAUGCAACUGCAACUGCAAUACUUCUGCGGCAUAUACUGCAUUUGGGCAUGAAAAGUACUAAGCCGUCAAUUGGAAAAACUUGCCCUGGAAAAACAGGCAGCAGAGGUACACACAGAAGAUGCCCACUCAGUCAGUUCACAUUGCCUGUUCCUUUGCCUUUGGCAGCAGCAAUAUCAACAACAAUAACAAUGAACAACUUGCUACAACGGCAACUCUCAUUAAGAUGCAAAAGAUGUCGCUUGCCGCUUUUUAGAAUUACUAAUUGAAUCGACGCGAUCAGUGGCAAUUGCAGCGGCAUUGGCCACAGCCAAUAAUAAUAACAACGAACGAAAAAACAAACAAACCAACAACAGCGGCAACAGCAGCCAACGCAACAACAGCCAGGGCGGUUUAAUUGUUUGUUGUUGUUACAGCUUCCGUUUGAAUGCAACACACAUUCGCACAUACAAAUCUAAAAACAUUCAGUCCUGAACGUGCACAUCAAUGCAAGCAAUUUGCUUUACACUAUUAUACAGUUGUACUAACAAAAAGAUUGUUACUUAGAACACAAAUUUAUACUUUAUUCGAAUAAUUUUUGAGUAUUAGCUCAAUGUGAUUUUUAUAAGAAUUUCAACAGUCUAACAUUAGCUAAAUCGAUCAAAAUCGAAAACGUUUUUCCUCUUUCAUUUUGGAUGUU